rnacentral:rRNA from 1 species
AUUGAACGCUGGCGGCAGGCCUAACACAUGCAAGUCGAACGGUAACAGGGAUCAGCUUGCUGAUUCGCUGACGAGUGGCGGACGGGUGAGUAAUGUCUGGGAAACUGCCUGAUGGAGGGGGAUAACUACUGGAAACGGUAGCUAAUACCGCAUAACGUCGCAAGACCAAAGAAGGGGACCUUCGGGCCUCUUGCCAUCGGAUGUGCCCAGAUGGGAUUAGCUAGUAGGUGGGGUAACGGCUCACCUAGGCGACGAUCCCUAGCUGGUCUGAGAGGAUGACCAGCCACACUGGAACUGAGACACGGUCCAGACUCCUACGGGAGGCAGCAGUGGGGAAUAUUGCACAAUGGGCGCAAGCCUGAUGCAGCCAUGCCGCGUGUAUGAAGAAGGCCUUCGGGUUGUAAAGUACUUUCAGCGGGGAGGAAGGGAGUAAAGUUAAUACCUUUGCUCAUUGACGUUACCCGCAGAAGAAGCACCGGCUAACUCCGUG